UGUUAUUAUGUUCUGAUAUUGUACUAUGUCAACGAUGAGUGUGUAUAAUGAAAACUUGAUGCGCUAGCUGUUUUAAAUUACAAGCUAACGAAAAUAAUAACAUUUCUUUUUACAAGUUCCCACAAGAUGAAACUCUCCGAAAGAUAAUUCUCCACGAUGUAACGGAAAUUUUUUAGACUUUUAAAUCAAUGGAAACUAAAUUUUAAAUGUUUCUCAGUUAUUCAAGUCAUUGGACAUCAAACAUGAAAGUUUUAAGAAUCAAUACCAAUUCUGAUAAUGAAACUUAAACUCCAACCUCAAUGAUGGGAAACGAGCUAAAUCAAGAUUCAUGGAGUGUAUCUGAUUACGCAAAUAAUGUUGUAUAAAUUGCUAGCAAAAGUAUCAAAGCAUUGUGAGUGUGACAUAUGCUGAGAGAGUCUAAUCCAAAAUCAGGUUUUUUGGGCUUGUAGAGAAUAAAAGAUCAAGGAGGAUUAUUUUCAGUUUUGGAGGACGUGGUAAAACAUGUAUGAAAAAAUUUUCUUUUUUUAUUGUCGAGCUCAUUAUUACUAUAUUAGUUAGUUUUCUGUCCACAUUUAUGAUAACGAUAAUCAUGUAUUUGAACAAACCAUCUUAUCGGAUCAUAAAAUGCAGCUUUUAAAGCUCAUGUUAAAAAAAUAUUUAAUAAAAUAUCAGAUUAUACCACGGAGGAGCAUUUAAGCAUAAUUCAAUUUAGUGACUUACAAGCAAGUAUAAUAAUAUUAUUUUUAAGAUUUCGUUAAUUUGAUUUAAUAUUCUGUCUAUAAAGUUGCAUAAUUACAGUAUGCAUGUAUUCAUUGCACUAUUUAAAAAAAAUUAGGUUUCAAAAAAAGCCGUCUCUAGUUAUUAAAUGUAUUACAGAUAGUGUGUGUGUGUGUGCAUAAAUACAUGAUGUAUUGUAAAUUUUUUAUUCUUUCGGUCUUAUUAGAGCUGUAGAAAGGAAAUUAGGAAAUUUGAAAGAUAUCAACAACUGAUAAGGUUGAGUUGCCGCCUACCGAGCUCUUUAAGUUCUGUACCAUUAUUCGUACACAGGUACUUCCCUUACUGCGAAACUAGUCUAUGCAGAGAGAAAUAAAACAUAGUUUCUCUAUUCUCUGUCUCUCUCAGUCCACUUUUAUCACUUUUAUUACAGCUUCAUGACUGUAUUCAAAAUCUGUAUAUAGAAGAUCCAUGCCACGAACAGAUGUAAUACUUAACAUGGUAAAAAAUAAAAAUUAUUCCUUUAUUACAUUUUAUUAAGAAAA
rnacentral:lncRNA from 1 species